CUACGGGAGGCAGCAGUGGGGAAUCUUGCGCAAUGGGCGAAAGCCUGACGCAGCAACGCCGCGUGUGGGAUGAAGGCCCUCGGGUUGUAAACCACUUUCAGCAGGAACGAAAAUGACGGUACCUGCAGAAGAAGGUCCGGCCAACUACGUGCCAGCAGCCGCGGUAACACGUAGGGACCAAGCGUUGUCCGGAUUUAUUGGGCGUAAAGAGCUCGUAGGCGGUUUCGUAAGUCGGGUGUGAAAACUCAGGGCUUAACCCUGAGACGCCACCCGAUACUGCGAUGACUUGAGUCCGGUAGGGGAGUGGGGAAUUCCUGGUGUAGCGGUGAAAUGCGCAGAUAUCAGGAGGAACACCGGUGGCGAAGGCGCCACUCUGGGCCGGUACUGACGCUGAGGAGCGAAAGCGUGGGUAGCAAACAGGAUUAGAAACCCUGGUAGUCC
rnacentral:rRNA from 1 species